UCACAGCUACUGCACUCCUACUCUUCCAACAAAUUUUAGUCAUGGCGUGGAAUACAGCGAACAGAACCACGGUGUUUGUAUAUUGAAAGAUCUCGAGCGCGCACCUUCUUCACCGGUUUAGAACUGUGCCCAUUCGAUGGGAAAAAUAUUGUUUUAACAAAUGAAGUAUAGAAGUAUGAACAGCCAAAUAUAUUAAUGAACUAGAACGUCACCUGCAUAAAAUUUCAGAAACUGUUAUUUGAGCGGCUUAUGUACCGUAACAAGGCUAUACCAAAUGAAGAAUAUAAUGAAUGUUAUUAUACAGGUAUUGCAACUACCAAUAUCGAAGAUAAAUAAUUUAUAUUAUCAUUCUCUAAUGAUAUAAUCUAUCACGAAAGUUACAUCGAAAUUAAACUUGUACUGUAAUUUGUGAUACUAUAUACGUA